rnacentral:rRNA from 1 species
CCUACGGGAGGCUGCAGUGGGGAAUAUUGGACAAUGGGGGGAACCCUGAUCCAGCCAUGCCGCGUGUGUGAAGAAGGCCCUCGGGUUGUAAAGCACUUUCAGUGAGGAAGAACGCCUGGUGGUUAAUACCCAUCAGGAAAGACAUCACUCACAGAAGAAGCACCGGCUAACCCCGUGCCAGCAGCCGCGGUAAUACGGAGGGUGCGAGCGUUAAUCGGAAUUACUGGGCGUAAAGCGCGCGUAGGUGGCUUGAUAAGCCGGUUGUGAAAGCCCCGGGCUCAACCUGGGAACGGCAUCCGGAACUGUCAAGCUAGAGUGCAGGAGAGGAAGGUAGAAUUCCCGGUGUAGCGGUGAAAUGCGUAGAGAUCGGGAGGAAUACCAGUGGCGAAGGCGGCCUUCUGGACUGACACUGACACUGAGGUGCGAAAGCGUGGGUAGCAAACAGGAUUAGAUACCCUGGUAGUC